UACGUAGGGGGCAAGCGUUGUCCGGAAUCAUUGGGCGUAAAGAGCGUGUAGGCGGCCCGAUAAGUCCGCUGUGAAAGUCCAGGGCUCAACCCUGGAAUGCCGGUGGAUACUGUCGGGCUCGAAUCCGGAAGAGGUGAGUGGAAUUCCUGGUGUAGCGGUGAAAUGCGUAGAGAUCUGGAGGAACACCGAUGGCGAAGGCAGCCUUCUGGGCCAACACUGACGCUCAUGCACGAAAGCGUGGGGAGCAAACAGG
rnacentral:rRNA from 1 species